UGUUCUAAAAAUUCACAAAACUUGAUUAAAAAUGUAUCUUUGUUACACACUCUACAAUUAAUAUUUAGCAUUGUUUAAACGUUCAAGAAUUUCCCCAGACAUGCUUUCACAUAUAUUUCAUCUUUAGGUACCCCCGAAAAUAUAAGUUAAAAAUCUUUUACAUACAAGGUUAAAAGAAGUUGAUUUUGAAAAUACAGUAUGGAUGCUACCUGUAUAGAUCUAUUGAUUUUUUUUUUUUCUUUUCUUUUGAAAGAAACAGAAAAAAUGAUGACAAAUUAGCAGGAAUCAACAAAAGAUACUGAGUUCUUGAAAGAUCAAAGAGAUCGUUUAGGACAUGCACUGUAUGACAGCACUAAUGUCAUCAUUCAAAUGCAUGUACCACAUUGUUGACAUUUUCUGACUCAUUUUUACAAAUGACAAUGACUGAAUUACAUGAGACAAUCUUAAAACUAAAGGAAUUUCAUGUAUUAUUGCAAUUCAGGUUUAAGUCACUUAGGUAAAUCAAUUGCAGGACAGCAGACCCUGGAGUACAUGUAGGUUUACACAUGUAUUUUUAGGGUUUCCAUAACCAGGUGGAUGAAGCAAAUGCCUAACAAGACUUGAAACCCUAAAUUAAUUAUUAGGCUUUCUUAAUUAAUCAAGCUUUUUAGAAUGUGUCUGGAUAAUUAGGCAUAAAUAUUGUUAAAGGAAACAUAUUAGAUUUAAUACCACAUAUUAUAGGAAACAAUAUGGAAAAUAGCAGGUUCAAUGCCAAUCAAUAACAUUAACCAUCAUUAAAAAGUUAAUCAACAGUUAAAUAUUACAAUAUAUUGUCACAGUUGUUCUAAACAUAAUACAAGUCAUUUGUUGAAAAGUCUGCUCAAGAUGUACAUUUAAAAAUAUCAACAUUAAGAUCUCAUGCUGUGCAAAUGAAAAAAAUGAAAAAGGUAAUUC